GAUGAACGCUGACAGAAUGCUUAACACAUGCAAGUCAACCUGAAUGUGGGUGUUUUUCUUGGGUGUGGGUGUCGGACGGGUGAGUAACGCGUAAAGAACUUGUCUCACAGCUAUGGACAACAUUUGGAAACGAAUGCUAAUAUCUAAUAUUGUAAUAAUAGGUCCUUCGAGAGUUAUGAAAAGUAUAAGCGCUGUGAGAGGGCUUUGCGUCCCAUUAGCUGGUUGGGGAGGUAACGGCUAACCAAGGCGAUGAUGGGUAGCCGGCCUGAGAGGGUGAUCGGCAAAUAGGGAACUGAGAAACGGCCCGACUCCUACCGGGAGGAAGAAGGGGGGAUAAUUGGCAAAUGGACCGAGCGUGUGGUAGCGACGCUGCGUGUGGAAGAUCGACUUUUUCGGAAUGUAAAGCGUUUUCCGUUGAGAAGAAGUAAAUGACGGUACCGACAGAAGAAGCGCCGGCUAACUACGUG
rnacentral:rRNA from 1 species